UGGGGAAUAUUGGACAAUGGGCGAAAGCCUGAUCCAGCCAUGCCGCGUGUGUGAAGAAGGUCUUCGGAUUGUAAAGCACUUUAAGUUGGGAGGAAGGGCAGUAAGCGAAUACCUUGCUGUUUUGACGUUACCGACAGAAUAAGCACCGGCUAACUCUGUGCCAGCAGCCGCGGUAAUACAGAGGGUGCAUGCGUUAAUCGGAUUUACUGGGCGUAAAGCGUGCGUAGGCGGCUAAUUGAGUCGGAUGUGAAAUCCCCGAGCUUAACUUGGGAAUUGCAUUCGAUACUGGUUAGCUAGAGUGUGGGAGAGGAUGGUAGAAUUCCAGGUGUAGCGGUGAAAUGCGUAGAGAUCUGGAGGAAUACCGAUGGCGAAGGCAGCCAUCUGGCCUAACACUGACGCUGAGGUACGAAAGCAUGGGGAGCAAACAGG
rnacentral:rRNA from 1 species